rnacentral:rRNA from 1 species
GGGACACGUGGUAUCCUGUCUGAAUAUGGGGGGACCAUCCUCCAAGGCUAAAUACUCCUGACUGACCGAUAGUGAACCAGUACCGUGAGGGAAAGGCGAAAAGAACCCCGGCGAGGGGAGUGAAAAAGAACCUGAAACCGUGUACGUACAAGCAGUGGGAGCCUCUUAAUGGGGUGACUGCGUACCUUUUGUAUAAUGGGUCAGCGACUUAUAUUCUGUAGCAAGGUUAACCGAAUAGGGGAGCCGAAGGGAAACCGAGUCUUAACUGGGCGUUAAGUUGCAGGGUAUAGACCCGAAACCCGGUGAUCUAGCCAUGGGCAGGUUGAAGGUUGGGUAACACUAACUGGAGGACCGAACCGACUAAUGUUGAAAAAUUAGCGGAUGACUUGUGGCUGGGGGUGAAAGGCCAAUCAAACCGGGAGAUAGCUGGUUCUCCCCGAAAGCUAUUUAGGUAGCGCCUCGUGAAUUCAUCUCCGGGGGUAGAGCACUGUUUCGGCAAGGGGGUCAUCCCGACUUACCAACCCGAUGCAAACUGCGAAUACCGGAGAAUGUUAUCACGGGAGACACACGGCGGGUGCUAACGUCCGUCGUGAAGAGGGAAACAACCCAGACCGCCAGCUAAGGUCCCAAAGUCAUGGUUAAGUGGGAAACGAUGUGGGAAGGCCCAGACAGCCAGGAUGUUGGCUUAGAAGCAGCCAUCAUUUAAAGAAAGCGUAAUAGCUCACUGGUCGAGUCGGCCUGCGCGGAAGAUGUAACGGGGCUAAACCAUGCACCGAAGCUGCGGCAGCGACACUAUGUGUUGUUGGGUAGGGGAGCGUUCUGUAAGCCUGUGAAGGUGUACUGUGAGGUAUGCUGGAGGUAUCAGAAGUGCGAAUGCUGACAUAAGUAACGAUAAAGCGGGUGAAAAGCCCGCUCGCCGGAAGACCAAGGGUUCCUGUCCAACGUUAAUCGGGGCAGGGUGAGUCGACCCCUAAGGCGAGGCCGAAAGGCGUAGUCGAUGGGAAACAGGUUAAUAUUCCUGUACUUGGUGUUACUGCGAAGGGGGGACGGAGAAGGCUAUGUUGGCCGGGCGACGGUUGUCCCGGUUUAAGCGUGUAGGCUGGUUUUCCAGGCAAAUCCGGAAAAUCAAGGCUGAGGCGUGAUGACGAGGCACUACGGUGCUGAAGCGACAAAUGCCCUGCUUCCAGGAAAAGCCUCUAAGCAUCAGGUAACAUCAAAUCGUACCCCAAACCGACACAGGUGGUCAGGUAGAGAAUACCAAGGCGCUUGAGAGAACUCGGGUGAAGGAACUAGGCAAAAUGGUGCCGUAACUUCGGGAGAAGGCACGCUGAUAUGUAGGUGAAGCGACUUGCUCGUGGAGCUGAAAUCAGUCGAAGAUACCAGCUGGCUGCAACUGUUUAUUAAAAACACAGCACUGUGCAAACACGAAAGUGGACGUAUACGGUGUGACGCCUGCCCGGUGCCGGAAGGUUAAUUGAUGGGGUUAGCGGUAACGCGAAGCUCUUGAUCGAAGCCCCGGUAAACGGCGGCCGUAACUAUAACGGUCCUAAGGUAGCGAAAUUCCUUGUCGGGUAAGUUCCGACCUGCACGAAUGGCGUAAUGAUGGCCAGGCUGUCUCCACCCGAGACUCAGUGAAAUUGAACUCGCUGUGAAGAUGCAGUGUACCCGCGGCAAGACGGAAAGACCCCGUGAACCUUUACUAUAGCUUGACACUGAACAUUGAGCCUUGAUGUGUAGGAUAGGUGGGAGGCUUUGAAGUGUGGACGCCAGUCUGCAUGGAGCCGACCUUGAAAUACCACCCUUUAAUGUUUGAUGUUCUAACGUGGGCCCCUUACCGGGGUUGCGGACAGUGUCUGGUGGGUAGUUUGACUGGGGCGGUCUCCUCCUAAAGAGUAACGGAGGAGCACGAAGGUUGGCUAAUCCUGGUCGGACAUCAGGAGGUUAGUGCAAUGGCAUAAGCCAGCUUGACUGCGAGCGUGACGGCGCGAGCAGGUGCGAAAGCAGGUCAUAGUGAUCCGGUGGUUCUGAAUGGAAGGGCCAUCGCUCAACGGAUAAAAGGUACUCCGGGGAUAACAGGCUGAUACCGCCCAAGAGUUCAUAUCGACGGCGGUGUUUGGCACCUCGAUGUCGGCUCAUCACAUCCUGGGGCUGAAGUAGGUCCCAAGGGUAUGGCUGUUCGCCAUUUAAAGUGGUACGCGAGCUGGGUUUAGAACGUCGUGAGACAGUUCGGUCCCUAUCUGCCGU